UGAAUAUUAAUAUGUUUAUUUCAUUUCAUUGAAUAGGAAUUUAUUUUCAAGAUUCAAGGAACUUACUUGUAAAGCCACGAGGUAUGAAUGAUGGGGCUAUAGAGCUAGGCACUGCUGAGGAGGGAAGGGCUGAUGCUUAGUAUUCCCUGUCGGUUCGGUUUGAUGAUAAUGGUUAUGUUUUAUGUUUUAUGAUGGGUCCUAUGUUGGGACGUUUUGUUGGUUUGACUUUAAGACAAUAUGUCCUUGGGCAUGAUGUAGAUAUUGUGGAUAUUGUGGUGGGAUGAUAGUAAUAGUGUAACUUCUAUAGUGGGGUGAUAGUAACCCUACAUAAGAAGGUUAAAGGUGUUUUGGGUAUGUUGUAGGGAUGGAGUCCCCUUUUUAUUAGAACUAGUGAUGUUUUGAAUGAAUGAAUGGUGGACUCUGAGAGUCCUUUGGGUAAUAUGUUGAACA